UUGCAUGUUUUAACUAUUCAACCAAUGACGGGGACAUACCUUCAACAAAAUCUUCAAAAGUUUUAGUUUUUUUCCUCCUUUUUUGCACUACAACCUCUUUGUCUGCAUCUUCACAUUGUUCAGCAUGGCUGGUUUGAUCAUAUUCCUCACACUCAUGGAGACUCUCUGCAAAGACAUCAUGCAUGUCAUCAAAGUAUAGUCCAUAUAACUUCUCACAUUUGUUUUACCGCUGUAUCAAAAUAUAAGAGGUACCUGCGGUAAAUUUCACUUUCAACAAUGGGAAAGUUUCCCAGUCUUCCUUAGGACCCAUACGGAAAGGUAAUAUAUUCACAUAUAUGUGAAGCACUGUUGAAUAUAUUGAAAUAUAUUUUGAAAAUAUAUUUUAAAAAUACAUAUGUUGCGUGUGUGUGUGUUACAUUAUAUUCAUGCCUCAAAUAACUUUUAAUCAAUGUGUUUUUGCAGUGCAGCAAUGCAUUUUGUUUCUACACUAUGUUUACCAUUUUUAAAGCUAUUAUUAUAUUAUAUUAUAUUAUAUUAUAUUAUAUUAUAUUAUAUUAUAUUAUAUUAUAUUAUAUUAUAUUAUAUAGAUCCUAUAUUCUAAUUCUAUUUAGGCCUACUAUCAACUUAAUAUGUUAUCAAGUGUCAGAACAAGUUUAUAAUUUUAUGUACUAUGUAAACGCUGUGUAAUGUGUUUGAUGGGCGCGCACGUUGAACAUUCGAGGCGCAUUUAAACUGUGGCGGGAGUUACCAUGGAAAUGGGGCGGCAGCUCAGCUGAGAAGUAGCAAAUCUCUCCGUCUCUCACUGUUGUUUUUACUGCUUUCAGAAAUGGUUCAGUGUCAUGGGAAUAAGUCCAUUAGCAUCACAACCAUGAGCUAACAGAGGCUAACUAUAAGAGCAGAGUUGGAGUGGACCUCUUGUUGAAGAACUUCUCCAGGCACUAUGAACCAUCUGACUAAUGCUGUCAUGAAACGCCAUGAAAAGGCAACUACUGGACACCUGGGACAGGCCAUCAAUUCCAAGUUGGCAUCAAUUCCCUGUUAGAGUUUAGAGUUGUCUAAUAGAGAGGGUGAAGGAAGAACAUCCAAACCCUGCCCCUGCUUCCUUCAAGAUUUUUUGUGGAUUUAUAUAAUGGUGUUUUUUCGUAAAGUAAAGGCAGUGGCAAAAUUAACAUGACAAUACUUUGAUUUUUUUUUCUUGUAAAUGCAAAUUGUAUCAAAAUUGGUGUUUUUGGAGUGUGUGUGUGUAGUUUAAUUUGUAGAACAAAACAUCAAAGUAGUGUCAUGUUAAUUUUGCCACUGUCUUUAAGAAAAAACACCAUCAAUCAGGGAAUCAGGGGCAGGGUUUGGAUGUUCUUCUUUCACCCUCUCUAUUAGACAACUCUAAAAUUUUAUUAUUAUUUUUUUUUAACACAGACUUUAUUUCAUUAAUAAAAAAAAAAAAAACUUCUCUUCAAGAAUUACUUUUCAGGUUUUAGCAUCAUCCUUUAGUAUUCAUAAUAGCAAUUUCAGUAAAGUUGCUGGUUUGAUUUAUGUUUUAAUUGUGCAGUUUAUGUGCACUCUGUUCUUUUGUCAAUGUCAAU
ensembl:lncRNA